rnacentral:lncRNA from 1 species
CUCUGUCAAACUAAGCGUAAGUGGUUCACAGUCUGUACCACAGCUAAAUUUAAAAGCUGAGAACCCACUCUAUCAACAUUAAACAGCGGCAGUUCCUGUAAGUUUUUAAGGGUUAUUGGAAGAUGACUUUACUUGUCUUCAUACAGUUUCACCUAAAUUAUGUUGGUGCUGUUGCUUUAGGACCUUCAGACCUGGAUGGGGACGUAUGAUAAGGAUCCUGGUUCUCAGGCCUUCUGGUCUGCACUGUAGCUAUACCUCCAGCUUUCCUGUGCUGUCAGUUUGGAGACAGCAGGUCAUGAGACUUCACUGCAUUCAUAAUUAUGUGAGCCAGUUUGUCAUGGUAAAUAUGUAUGUAUGCAUGUAUGUAUCCAUCCAUCCAUCCUGUUGAUUCUGUUUCUCUGGAGAACGCUGAUUAAAACACCUCUCUGCCUUCAGAACCCUUUUUCUUUCCUCUGACGUAUUAAUACUUUGAAUUUUAUAGAGAGAUAUUACAUGAGCAGAUGUGGCAACAUUAUUGAAUAUAAAAUGGUUAAUUUUGCUGCAUCACCCAAUUUUCUUACUCUGAUAAAAACUAUAAUGUAAGAAAUGAGAUAAUAAUUAUAAGUGAUUAUGACAAGUGUAAUAAUAACAUCACUUUUAUGGGGAAAUAAGGAAAAGCAAUAAUUUAUAAUGAAAUAAAAACUAAUGAUCAACA